UACGUAGGGUGCGAGCGUUGUCCGGAAUUACUGGGCGUAAAGAGCUCGUAGGUGGUUUGUCGCGUUGUUCGUGAAAACUCACAGCUCAACUGUGGGCGUGCGGGCGAUACGGGCAGACUGGAGUACUGCAGGGGAGACUGGAAUUCCUGGUGUAGCGGUGAAAUGCGCAGAUAUCAGGAGGAACACCGGUGGCGAAGGCGGGUCUCUGGGACGGUACUGACGCUGAGGCGCGAAAGCGUGGGGAGCGAACAGG
rnacentral:rRNA from 1 species